rnacentral:rRNA from 1 species
UUUUAGAAUUUAAUUUAAAGUCUAACCUGCCCACUGAAAAUUUUAAAUGGCCGCAGUAUCCUAACUGUGCAAAGGUAGCAUAAUCAUUAGUCUUUUAAUUGAAGGCUGGAAUGAAUGGUUGAAUGAAAUAUUAACUGUUUCAUAUAAAUUAAAAAUAGAAUUUUAUUUUUUAGUCAAAAAGCUAAAAUAAAUUUAAAAGACGAGAAGACCCUAUAAAUCUUUAUACUCCUUAAAUUUUAAUUAUUUAGAUUAUUUAAAUUAUAAUUUUAUAAGGUAUUUUAUUGGGGUGAUAUUAAAAUUUGAAUAACUUUUAAUUAAUUUAAACCAUAAAUUAAUGAAUUUAAUGAUCCAUUUAUUAUGAUUAUAAAAUUAAGUUACUUUAGGGAUAACAGCGUAAUUUUUUUAGAGAGUUCUUAUUGAUAAAAA